rnacentral:lncRNA from 1 species
CCGAGAGGCCGCUCGCGCCGUAUCCUUCCUCUUCUCCAGGUGCAGGCAGAGCCCCCGAGCCAUGGCCAGCCCUUCCGGCAGCUCCGAAGCCACUGGCAAGCCCCGAGGCAGGGAUGGCCGGCCCAGGAGGGAGGAGGACGACGUCCCUCCGGAAGAGAAGAGGCUGCGGCUGUAGCUGGAGAGGGGAAGCGCACAGCCCGAGGACUGCGAGAACGGGGAGGACGCGCCGCGGCCAGGCAGGGAGGAGACCGGCACCCAGACAGGUGGCGACCGCAGAGGGGUGGUCAUUUUUCUUCUUGUGGCCUCUGGAAUGUGACACAGAACUCAAGGGACAGGAAGGAGAUGAGUUGGAGGCUGGGACAGGG